UUUGCUGAAAGGCAUGUAUAGUUAGAUUUUUGUAGAAUGUAAGACUUGAAUCCUAAAAGAUCAAGACCUUUUCCUGUUGUCUUGCACAGCUUUCAAUUGCCCAUUCACAAUAAAAUGAGACACAACUCAUAGAACUGUUAGUUGCCAAGCCGUGACAUAGCCAACAGAAGCUUAACUUUGUGCUUAACAUUUCCAUGUUAAUUAGGCAAUGUCAAAUAUCACAGACAUGUAGAUAAGUCAUAGUAAUAUCUUUCACAUACAUUUCAAUGAAUUAAAUACUCUCUAUCUGAAUACUGAUCUUACAUUCCAUCCUUCAUAUUGCCUCCCAGUUUUUAGAGGAGUCAUGUUCAGAGAGGCCUAUUCAUUUAUAUCUUCUCCAAAUUUUCUUGUUACUAAGUCACCAUGCAACCUGAGAUGCCCAUCAUGAAGUGGAUGCUCUUUGACCCAUCAAGCCAUAAAUUUAGGCUGGGUCAUUGGCCUUAUCCCGCACCGAAGUUGAAACUUACACCAUCUGUUCACAUCAUCAGUUCUUCUGGUUCUCAUGCUUUUGAACUUCAACUGGCACAAUUCCACUGGCUCUCCUUAGUCUCCAGGUUGCAGAUGGCAGAUUAUAAAUCUCCUUAGCCUCCACCUUUAUAAUCCUAACUAUUACUGACACCUCUUUGAGGACAAAGGAAGUAGCUUUCUGCAAGCCAAAAAGACCUCAGAAAAACAACAAAUCUUCCAAACUCUUGAUUUUGACUUUUUGCCUCCAGAAUUGUGAAGAAAUAAAUAUCUGU
rnacentral:lncRNA from 1 species